UAACUAAUCUUAAAUAAGAAUUAAAAUUUAGUUUCGACCUAAAUAAAGAAAUUUAAUAUUUCCUUAUUUAG
rnacentral:tRNA from 1 species